UACGUAGGUGGCAAGCGUUAUCCGGAAUUAUUGGGCGUAAAGCGCGCGCAGGUGGUUUCUUAAGUCUGAUGUGAAAGCCCACGGCUCAACCGUGGAGGGUCAUUGGAAACUGGGAGACUUGAGUGCAGAAGAGGAAAGUGGAAUUCCAUGUGUAGCGGUGAAAUGCGUAGAGAUAUGGAGGAACACCAGUGGCGAAGGCGACUUUCUGGUCUGCAACUGGCCCUUAGGCGCGAAAGCGGGGGGAGCAAACAGG
rnacentral:rRNA from 1 species